GCCGAUGUAGCUCAGCUGGUUAGAGCACUAGAUUGUGGAUCUAGGGGUCGUUGGUUCGAAUCCAACCAUCGGUACCA
rnacentral:tRNA from 1 species